rnacentral:rRNA from 1 species
UCCUACGGGAGGCAGCAGUGGGGGAUAUUGCACAAUGGGGGAAACCCUGAUGCAGCGACGCCGCGUGGACGAAGAAGUAUUUCGGUAUGUAAAGUCCUAUCAGCAGGGAAGAAGAAAUGACGGUACCUGAGUAAGAAGCCCCGGCUAACUACGUGCCAGCAGCCGCGGUAAUACGUAGGGGGCAAGCGUUAUCCGGAUUUACUGGGUGUAAAGGGAGCGUAGACGGCAGUGCAAGUCUGGAGUGAAAGGCGGGGGCUCAACCCCCGGACUGCUCUGGAAACUGUACGGCUGGAGUGCAG